GGAAUUGAGCCAUCGUUAAGGUGAUCAAUUUCAGCUUUGCUUUUCCUAUUAUGACAAGUCAAAAUGUGUGCUGUGAAAAAGGUCCAUGGACGUUGCAUCAGUUAGGUCAAUUGGUUGCAACCAUUCUGUUUUGAAACCUUGGGUUUGGCACUUUGGCCAUCGCCAUCUUGGUCUUCUGAAACCAUACAAGACAAUUUUUUUUUGACGGAAUGCGCGGCAAAGCCAGUGUCAUGUCGUCUAUGGUCGCAAUGGCGCUGCACUAAGCUAAACGCUAAUUUUAAAGGAAAGUUACAGAUUUUCAACCCUUCUGAUGCGAGUCAUCCAGUGGAGAUUUGCCAGCAGGUCAACGCAGCCCUCCAGUGCCUCCGAUUCAACCCUGCUUCUUUUUCUUUGAGAUGCCUGAUAGGAGAUAAUACAACCUCUAAUGUAUGCUUUAAAUGUCAAACUGCCUCCAAGGAUGGAAAACAUUUGGAGACAAGAGUUACUAUUUAUCGGCUCAUCGGUUGACUAAAACCUGGGAAAACAGCAGAUAAGACUGUAAAAGGAGAGGAGCGGACCUGGCGAUUGUAACAACAAAGGAAGAGCUGGAUUAUGUCAGCAAAUCUGUCCAAACAUGGAUUGGUCUGUCUGACAAGGAUAGCGAGGGCAAGUGGAGGUGGGUGGAUGGGACUCAUCUGGAAAGUUUUUUUCUGGCUAGAAUAUGAGCCCAAUAAUAGUGUUGGCGAUGAGGAUUGUGCUGAGGUCUCUGGUUCGCCAAAGAGAUUUAAUGACGUUUCUUGUAGCAUUAAAUUGCCAUGGACGUGUGAGUAUUGAGGUCCUGUGGGCAGCCAUUUGUUUGUCAGUUGAUGCCAUUCAGGCCCUCCCAUCCCAUUGUACAGUAUCCCACUGACCCCCUGACCCUCCCAAAAGACAAAUAAAUAAUACAUUUUGAUCAGAUUAUCAUUUCUCCUCCCGUAAAUAUAGCCUAUUUGAUAAUUGACAGCCUGAUAACAACUGUUCCAUUGUCCUGUGUCUCUAUUGUACUUGUUAUGUUUAUAACGAACAAGCCCUCCAAAUAAACUCUUACUUCCGAGUUUUUUUUUCUAAUUUCUUUCAUGAAAUAAAAAGCACUAAAACAAAUGUUAAGGGAAUGUAUCCAUUAAAAAAUACACUUAAUGAGUUU